rnacentral:tRNA from 1 species
AUAAACAGUUUUAUGCUUUAUAAAAAGUUAGAAGCUUUUUUUGAUAUUUCUUU